rnacentral:tRNA from 1 species
GUCCCCGAAAUUGUCAUAACCGCUGACUCUUAAUCAGCGGGUCCACGGUUCGAGCCCGUGCGCGCCCACCA